rnacentral:rRNA from 1 species
GCUCAAAUUUGAAAUCUGGCUCUUUCAGGGUCCGAGUUGUAAUUUGCAGAGGGUGCUUUGGUGUUGGCGGCGGUCUAAGUUCCUUGGAACAGGACAUCGCAGAGGGUGAGAAUCCCGUAUGUGGUCGCCUGCCUUCGCCGUGUAAAGCCCCUUCGACGAGUCGAGUUGUUUGGGAAUGCAGCUCUAAAUGGGAGGUAAAUUUCUUCUAAAGCUAAAUACCGGCCAGAGACCGAUAGCGCACAAGUAGAGUGAUCGAAAGAUGAAAAGCACUUUGGAAAGAGAGUCAAACAGCACGUGAAAUUGUUAAAAGGGAAGCGCUUGCAGCCAGACUUGCCUGUAGUUGCUCGCCUGGGCUUUUGCCCGGGUUACUCUUCUGCAGGCAGGCCAGCAUCAGUUUGGGCGGUCGGAUAAAGGUCCCUUUCACGUAUCUCCCUUCGGGGUUAACAUAUAGGGGGGACGUAAUGCGACCAGCCUGGACUGAGGUCCGCGCAUCUGCUAGGAUGCUGGCGUAAUGGCUGUAAGCGGCCCGUCUUGAAACACGGACCAAGGAGUCUAACAUCUAUGCGAGUGUUUGGGUGUCAAGCCCGAGCGCGUAAUGAAAGUGAACGGAGGUGGGAACCCCUCGGGGCGCACCAUCGACCGAUCCUGAUGUCUUCGGAUGGAUUUGAGUAAGAGCAUAGCUGUUGGGACCCGAAAGAUGGUGAACUAUGCUUGAAUAGGGUGAAGCCAGAGGAAACUCUGGUGGAGGCUCGCAGCGGUUCUGACGUGC